rnacentral:tRNA from 2 species
GGCCUCGUGGCCUAAUGGCUAGGGCGCUAGAUUUCGGCGAUACAACCUACGGUAUCUGAUUCUCUAGAGAUUGUCGGUUCGAGUCCGGCCGAGGUCG